rnacentral:lncRNA from 1 species
CGGCGGCGGCGGCCCGGGCCGGGCGGGGGCGGGGGCGUCUGCGCGCACACGCGGGCUCGCAGACACACACACACGCACACGCGGGCCACGCCGCGCACACCCGCACCCGCGCCCGCGCUCACACUCACUCACACUCACACUCGCGCGCAGGCCCCGCAGCCGCCGCCGCCUCCGGAAGCGGCGCUCGGCCCGGAUCCCGGCCGGGCUGGAGGAGCCAGGAGACAGAUGGGUCUCUUCCUUCCUGUCCCGUCUCUCAAGCUCCCUCCUCAGAGCUUCAUUCUCCAGCCUCCUGUGGGAAUCGUGGGAAUCGUCUGAAGUUUGAGCCUAGAACCAGAGGAGGAGGAGGAGGAGGAGGAAGAAGACAAGGAAGAGGAGGAGGAGGAGGGAGAGGAAGUCUUGAGAGCCCGUGCACCUUUCCAGAAACAGGCGGUGGGGGUGCGUCCCAGGCCCAUCCUCGGUGGCCCACGCCUGCCAGUAGCACCCCUGAGAGGACCCCCCCCCCCACCGCCGCCCUCUACCGCGGUUGGCACCGGCCGCGUCUGCUCCCUCGGGGGGACCCCUGUGCCGGGGGUCGCCCCCAAGAUGGUGGCGGCCCCAGGGAGGACUGUGCCGCCAGCCCCAGCCUCCCGCUGCUAGGUC